CUGGGGCUGGCUUAGUGGUUAAGAGCACUAAUUGCUCUUCCAGAGGUCCUGAGUUCAAUUCCCAGCAACCACA
rnacentral:tRNA from 1 species